rnacentral:rRNA from 1 species
AGUGAACGCUGGCGGCAGGCCUAACACAUGCAAGUCGAGCGGCAGCGGGUCCUUCGGGAUGCCGGCGAGCGGCGGACGGGUGAGGAAUACAUCGGAAUCUGCCCUGUCGUGGGGGAUAACCUAGGGAAACUUAGGCUAAUACCGCAUACGACCUACGGGUGAAAGCGGGGGAUCGCAAGACCUCGCGCGACAGGAUGAGCCGAUGUCCGAUUAGCUAGUUGGCGGGGUAAAGGCCCACCAAGGCGACGAUCGGUAGCUGGUCUGAGAGGAUGAUCAGCCACACUGGGACUGAGACACGGCCCAGGCUCCUAAGGGAGGGCGGAGUGGGGAAUUUUGGGCAAUGGGCGGAAGCCCGGUCCAGCCAUGGCGCGGGGGGGAAAGAGGGCUUCGGGUUUGAAAGGCCUUUUGGUCGGGAAAAAAAUCGUCGGGCUAAAACCCCGGGGGGAUGACGGUAACGGAAGAAUAAGGAACGGCUUACUUCGUG